GGCGAACGCUGGCGGCAGGCCUAACACAUGCAAGUCGAACGGUGUCUUCGGACAUAGUGGCGCACGGGUGCGUAACACGUAUGCAACCUACCUUACAUUGGGGGAUAGCCUUUCGAAAGGGAGAUUAAUACCGCAUAAGACAGUAGCUGGGCAUCCAGCAGCUGUUAAAGAUUUAUCGAUGUAAGCUGGGCAUGCGUCCAACUAGCUAGUCGGUGAGGUAACGGCUCACCAAGGCAAUGAUUGGUAGGGGAACUGAGAGGUCGAUCCCCCACACUGGCACUGAGAUACGGGCCAGACUCCUACGGGAGGCAGCAGUAGGGAAUAUUGGGCAAUGGACGCAAGUCUGACCCAGCCAUGCCGCGUGCAGGAUGAAGGCGUUAUGCGUUGUAAACUGCUUUUAUACAGGAAGAAACGACUCUUGCGAGAGGCAUUGACGGUACUGUAUGAAUAAGCACCGGCUAACUCCGUGCCAGCAGCCGCGGUAAUAC
rnacentral:rRNA from 1 species